ensembl:lncRNA
CUGCGCCCGGCUCAGCCCGGCCCGCCCCGCCCCGGGCGCCGCCACCGACACCGCGACACGACGAAAGCCCCGCCCCCCGCGCAGGCGCACCACCCGCUCCACCGGCGUUUCCUACUCCCGCCCCCGCUCCGCGACUAUUGGCUCCUCGCGCCGCAGCCCCCGCCGCAGUGGUGGCUGCGCACGCUAAUCACCGCCUAGCCCCGUCCCGCGAGCAGAGCCGCUUUCAGCUUUUCGAGUCGCCCAGUUCCGCCGGCCUCUCCUGUUUCCCACGGAUGGGACCUUCCGAAGGGCGCCGAAUGGGGCUCUGGAAGGGACCACUGGGAAAGCGGGGGGGGGGCCCGAGCGGAGCGCCGCGCGGCUUCCCUUGGCUCGAGUACAAUAGCGGGGCUGCGGGGCGCCUACAGAUCCCAGGCUGCGGGGCUGCGGCCGGCGCCGCGCGGCAUGCCGGGACCUGUAGUCGCGGCGGGGCGGCGGCGCCCGCUCGGGCCCCCGGCCGGGAAGGCAGGGCGCCGGGGCGGGUUUUGCGUUGUUGCCCUCUUACCGAGGGUGCCGCUGAAAGGGCCGGCGGGAGGCCUCGAGCUGCGGAAGGAGGCCGAGGCGGGACGCAGGGCUCCCGGAGGCCGAGCGGGCGGCGCCGCUGCGCUGAUGUUCAUGGAGGCUAAUGUACGGAGGACAGAAGGACACAUCAAGGAACUGGGAGAGAGAUCCAGUGCUGUGCUGAGGAAGGAGGACAGACAAUUUUCCUGUUCAAAGAUAGCUUCUUAUGUCCCCACAAGAUGCAGAAAUGUCUUUACCACUGAAGACAGUACAAUUUGGGAUAAGGACCCAGCAUAUGAAAGAACUAGCACAUGGAGUGUAAUUGCCAGGAAGCUGUUCAACAGCUCAAGGAGGAACGCCGAUAUCAGUGGGAUAUGUGAUUCCAACUGCUGGAAAUAA